UGGGGAAUCUUGCGCAAUGGGCGAAAGCCUGACGCAGCCAUGCCGCGUGAGUGAUGAAGGCCUUAGGGUUGUAAAACUCUUUCACCGGGGACGAUAAUGACGGUACCCGGAGAAGAAGCCCCGGCUAACUUCGUGCCAGCAGCCGCGGUAAUACGAAGGGGGCUAGCGUUGCUCGGAAUUACUGGGCGUAAAGGGCGCGUAGGCGGAUCAGCAAGUUGGGGGUGAAAGCCCGGGGCUCAACCUCGGAAUUGCCUUCAAAACUGCUGAUCUAGAGUACGGGAGAGGUGUGUGGAACUCCGAGUGUAGAGGUGAAAUUCGUAGAUAUUCGGAAGAACGCCAGUGGCGAAGGCGACACACUGGCCCGUUACUGACGCUGAGGCGCGAAAGCGUGGGGAGCAAACAGGAUUAGAUACCCUGGUAGUCCACGCUGUAAACGAUGAUUGCUAGUUGUCGGCAGGCAUGCCUGUCGGUGACGCAGCUAACGCAUUAAGCAAUCCGCCUNGGGGAGUACGGUCGCAAGAUUAAAACUCAAAUGAAUUGACGGGGUCAUAGCUGUUUCCUG
rnacentral:rRNA from 1 species